rnacentral:rRNA from 1 species
AACGAACGUAGGCGGCGCGCCUAACACAUGCAAGUCGCACGAGAAAGGGAGCAAUCCCCGGUACAGUGGCGCACGGGUGAGUAACACGUGGAUAAUCUUCCCUUGGGCGGGGGAUAACCUUCCGAAAGGAGGGCUAAUACCGUAUAAGACCACAGCGAGUUCGCUCGCAGGGGUCAAAGCUGGCCUCUUCAUGAAAGCUAGCACCUAAGGAUGAGUCCGCGUCCCAUCAGCUAGUUGGUAGUGUAAGAGACUACCAAGGCGAAGACGGGUAGCUGGUCUGAGAGGAUGAUCAGCCACACUGGAACUGAGACACGGUCCAGACUCCUACGGGAGGCAGCAGUGGGGAAUCUUGCGCAAUGGGCGAAAGCCUGACGCAGCGACGCCGCGUGGGUGAUGAAGGCCCUCGGGUUGUAAAGCCCUGUGGGGAGGGACGAAUAAGUCGUGGCUAAUAUCCACGAUGAUGACGGUACCUCCUUAGCAAGCACCGGCUAACUCCGUGCCAGCAGCCGCAGUAA